rnacentral:tRNA from 1 species
GGGUGAGUAGCUCAGAGGGGAGAGCGCUGCCCUUACAAGGCAGAGGUCACAGGUUCAAUUCCUGUCUCACCCA